CCUGAUGCAGUGUGCAGAUGAUGUAUUAUAGAGUUGUACACUUGAAACCUGUAUGAUCUUGGUAACCAGUGUCACGCCAAUAAAUUUAAAUUUUUUAAAAAAUGCAAGAAUAUGUUCAGAUUAGAAAAUGAUGCUACUCAGCCACACUGAACUAAAGGGCAAUGAAGUGACUAGUGUGACGAUUAUGGAGGCUCUUUUGGACUCGGUGAGAAAUUACACCAUUGGAAUUGACUGUUAACUUGUGCAGUGAUUUUCUGAGUCUUUUAAUCUCUUCAAAAUGUGAAUGUGAAAAGGUCAGCAUUGUACUCUUAUGUGAAGAAGUUGUGUUCAAUAAAUACAUAUUGAACGAACCAAUGUGAAAAAAGAAACUUUCAGUUUUAUUCUUCCAAGUAUCUUCCGUGUAGCACACCAGUGAGCACACGGAGUCUGCAGUUAAAUGCUUCUCACAGAUGAGGCUAUCUGCCUGGCUCAUGAUCCAGUCAGGCUUGCUAAUUCAGCUAUUGCAUCCAACCAAUUGUUUACUUAUACUGAGGGUUACUUAGUUUUCAUACAACUUGAAUCAUUUCAUGGAUUUUGAUGUUUAAAUAUAUAACUUUGUUACAUGUUUUCUCAUCUAAUGCAUUUGCAUUAAUCUAAUACAUUAAAUCUAAUUGCAUUCUGAUUUCCUGGGAUGAAUAUUUAGUCGUUAAACAAAAGGAACAGUUUUUGAAUAAUUAUUCAUAAUAUGUAAGUAAUCUAAGUAGUGUACUUAUUUUAAUUUAAAAUAUAGUAUCUUUGCUUUCCAAAAGGGUAUAAUAUAUAUAAAUUCUGAUGUUAUCUGAAUUUAAACAGUUGAAUUUAUGAAGCAUAUUUUCCCUUGAAGUAAAUGGCAGUAAUGUCUCAAUGCCCAGAUGUUUUUUAAGUCAAUUAUUUAGCAAGAACAAAGCCUAAAGGAAAGGACUGCACGUGUGUGUGCACACAUGCACACGUGCUUCAGGAUAGAGGUAGGAACUGGAUGCCUGUGUUGUCUGUGGAGAAACUCGGGUUCCGUUGCCUUUGAUCUUCCCCAUGCAGAGCCUUUGCCGCGGGUUUCCCUUGAGCCCAAAGGGGGCUUUUACACUUCCAUGUGUAAUUUUGUAUGGUUCUACAUAUCACCCAUCUUAUGAAAGCAGCUUUACUGACCUGUUUUCCACAUGGCAUGAAAUUCACCUGUCUAAAGUGUACAGGUCAAUGAGUUUUUAGUAUAUUCGCAAAGUUGUACAUCUGUCAUAAUCUAAUUUUGGGAUGUUUUCAUCACCCAGAAAGAAACUCCAUAAUCAUUAACCAUCGUUCCCAUUCCCCCAAUUCCACUCCUCCUCCCCAGUCAGCCCUAAGUACGGUGAUCACCGACUGCCUUCUGUCUCUGGACUUACUCUGUUGUGUUGCCGAAUAACAUUUCAUUACAUGGCUAUAUCAUGUUAUUCAUCUGUUGAUGAACAUUUGGGUAUUUUCACUUAGGGGCUAUCAUGAAAAGGCUGCUAUGAACAUUUGUGUACAAAUUUUCAUGUCCUCACCAUUUUAAACUUUCUUUCGAUGGAGAGAAGGUAGGGUUUGUAUUCAAUAUAUUAUAUCAUAAGAUUUGCAUUAGAAUUCCCUAGAUUUUUAACUUACUAUGAGUACAGCACAUAUCAUCCAGUGAUUUAAAUACAGUUUGCUAAAUUAGUAGGUAACUCAACCAUUUAGAGUCUCUCCUUUGUCUUUUUGAGGAUUUUAGAAACUGACUAGGUAAGCAAAAACAGCCCUUUUUGCUUUCAUCAGUGCUAGAUUCCAUUUCAAAGGACUCUGGAGUUUGAUAUUUCUUUCAUAUCUUGGUCAAGAAUGGAGAAUGACUUAGUGUGAAUCCAUUUACGGUUGGUUGUCUGUCUUCUGUCACGAAAAGCUGAAUGACAACAAUAGGCCACAGCCUUGUUUGUUAUUUUUCAUCUCAGUCAUAUACUCGUAUUCGUGUUGUUGUUAUUGGUCAUUGUUGUUGUUGCUUAGGGUGGAACUGAAAGCAAACACCUGCACACUUGGAAUGCUGAACAGCUUCCGGUGUAUAGAAAUUAAUUUAAGACACGUCAUUGAUUGAACAAAUGAAGUGAGUGUGCCCGGUAGCUCAUGCUGAACUUGGGCAGUCAUUAGGAAAGUAGUUCAAAGAAUGUGAUUAAAGGUAGGAAAAUUUAAGUGUGUUACUCACGUUGUCUUCUGGACUUUGACUCAAGUCUGAAUUUGGAGGUUUAUGUAUUGAAAAUAGGACCCCUUAAUCAAAUCAGGGCUAAAAAUAAGUAGUCAAAGCAGACAUAAUCAGUAGUCUCAAUUAAAAUAAACAUUUUAGCAAAUUAGAAAACUAGCUUUUAUAGCCUACCUUUAAAAAGUGAGGCUUGGUAAGGUAUGUUUGGUCACAGCAGUGCUAGUUUAUUGGAACUAACACGAAUAUCUCCAGGAAAAGCCGAUGUGAGAUUCGGUUAUUUCAUGGAGUUGGGUCAGGUCGGUCUGACAAGCACCAGGGUUUCUAACUCAUUAAGAUGGCGUGCUCCAGCCAGGAUUUUAUAAAUUGUUUAUUUCUUUCAAAUAAAUAAAAGCAUUUAACUAAAGCUUUUAAAAUAAAAGAAUGGUAGAUGUCUCUAUUUUUUAUAAAUCGUGUGAAAACUUCAGUCUUGAGAGAAAGCAGGACUUAAAAGUAAGUCACUUGACUUAGUUGUGGCCUGUCGCAGCUUUUUGCUUAACAAAAUAUGAUGAAGAACAGUUACAAUUAGCUUAGUUUCUGCCAAAUUUGGGGUCGGCCUAAUUUAUUAUUUGUGGUUUAAUAUUUUAAAAGCAGGGUCAUGUUUUAUGGUAUUACUUUGGUAUCCAUAGGAAAUCCCAAACAGUUCUCGGAAUUAAGGGGGUACUUUAGGCUUAUUUUAAGAUGUUUCAUAAUGUUUGCUUGCAUUUUACCCCAGUGGCCUAGUGGAAAGCUUUUAAAAAGUAGCAAUACUUAGCUUGCCUUGGUGUUCCUAGAUAGUAUGUUCCUUUUUAAAGGCUUGGUUCAAAUAUUGCCCCUUUUCUAAAGCUUUUCUCAUCCAUCCAACCCAAAUCCUUUGCAGAAUUAAUUGUCCCCAAUUCUGUCUUCUUAAUGUGUUAUCUACUUCUCUUAAUAGCUUCGAUGAUGUUAUUUGAUAGUUAUUUAUUUUCCAGUCUGCCUCCUGCUAAGAUUCUAAAAGUUAAGGAUUAUAUUGUAACCUUAACACUAAGAACAAGGCAUGGCACUAGAGGUACAGAUUAAGUUUUGGUAAAAAUUCUAAUCCUUUGGUUGAGUGUUUUAGUUUCUACCUUUGUUACUCAAAGAUACCAUCCUCUACUUUUAGCUUUACGGUAAGAAAUAUAUGCAUUGUGAUCAUAAUUUUUUAAGGUUUUAUUUAUUUAUUUUUAGGGAGCAGGAAAGGGAGGGAGGAAGAGAGGAAGAGAAACAUCAGUGUGUAAGAAAUACCGAUUGGUUGCCCCUCGCAAACCCCCAAAUGGGGACCUGGGCCGAAACUGGGAAUUGAACCGUCAACCUUUUGGUUCACCAGCCAGUGCUCAGUCUACUGAGCCACACCAGCCAGGGCUUGUGAUCAUAAUUUUGACAAAACAACACCCUGCCUCCUCUUUCAGUAAAGAAUUAGAAUUACAGAGAACUAGAGACAAAAUUAAAGAGCCUGGAUAGUACAGGUUAGUGGUUCUCAAACUUUAGCUUGCAUCGUGAUCACCUGAAGGGCUUUUUAAAACAUGGGUUCUUGGGCCCACACUCUGGAGUUUCUAAUUCAGUAGCUCUGGGAGGGGGCCUGAGAACUUGUAUGUCUAACGUGCUCCCAAAGUGAUGUUGUUGUGGUUGGCCCAAGGACCACACUUUGAGAACUGCUGAUGUAGGUUAUAACUGCUAACUAACCCACCUGAAAGACCUGUGCUGAAGUAGGAUCUGACCCUGAUCUCCCCAUCUAGAUCGAUCUCUGAGGUCCUGAGGGGAAAACUACUCCAUAAUUGCAAAGCUCUCUACAGGCAUCUACACAGCACAGUGAAGCUGUUGAUGAUCAAACCCGAGUGCCCAAAGGGGCGGGGGUGCCUUCUAAGGAAGAUUGGUGGAUCUCUCUUGGUAUCUCAUCAUCUGCAAUUAUGAAGAGUAUGUAAUGGGCACACAGUAAGAACUUGUUGACUAGCUGAUAAAACUAGGUGAGAGCUCUAACCUUCUGAUGUUAUUAUUUGUUUUGUGAUUCUUGCUCAAGGAAAUUUUUUUUUUUACUGUUGAUUUUAGUGAGAGGGGGAGGGAGAGAGAGAAAUGUUGAUGUGAGAAAGAAACAUCCAUCUGUUGCCUCCCAUGCACACGCCGACGAGGAGUUGAACCCCAACCUUUCAGUGUGCAGGUCGAUGCUCCACCCACCGGAGCGAUCUGGCCAGGGCUCUGCCACCCUUCGGAUUUUAGGUCAGUAGUCUGACACCUGUAAAGUACUUCUUUCACUUUUACUUCCAUAUUGGUUUGAAAGCAAAUAAAGUUAAUGAAAAUUACAUUCAUUAAGUGUAAUUAUUAAGCAGUAUAGUAAAUGUUUAUGUAGCAUCUAAUUAACCAUAUUUUCUCCUCUGUUAUAUGUAGCCAUAUUGAUUACCCAUAAAUUGUGUUUAAGACCCUAAAUUUGGCUGGUACUGUCAAUGAAAGAGUAUUUUUUCAUUCAGUACAUGUUUAUUGUAUGUUAACUAUGUACAGGUUAAGCGCUGGAGUUUAGUGAUGCAGACUAUUACAAACAGUAUAUAUAAUUUUCUGGCUAAGAAUGUUUUCUGUUCUAAUUUUAAAUUAAUAAUUGAUGAAUGUUGUAAAUCAGAUUACUCAGAUAUAUCAAAACUGAAUAUUC